UGAAACGCGCCUCCGUCGCGGGCGCGGGCACGUAAGGCUUCACUCAAUGGACCCCGCCCCCGGCCGAGCCCGGAAGAAGCUCCAGGCUAAGGCCCACUCUAACCGAGGCUGCCAUCUUGGAAGAGGGUGUGGAAACCGCGCAAGCGGCCAUCUUUUCUAAGGGAAACUCGUUAUUUCUCGCAUAGAGUGGGAAUUCCACUGAAGUCAUCGUCUGCAGUACAGGAAGCGCCUCUUUUGGGACCGAUGCAGGCAAUUACUGAAACCUUUUCUUUUUAAGGUGAAGAUUUCUGAUUACGGUAUUUCCUGCUCAUUAAGCAGUACUCCAAUCAUCUACUUUAUAUCCUCUAUCGUGCGGUAGAAAUAUUACUGUGAGUUGAUAAUAUUGCAUCUAAGUGAAGCAACCAGAAGGAUUCUCAGCUACUGUUGUCCUGCGUCUUUAAUGAUAGGUGAAUACAUUAGCAUUACCUUUAAAAAUCCACUACAUUUCUACCUAGCUUUCUUGUAUUGUCUUUCUUCAGAAUACAAGUGGAGACCUUUUCCAGUUCGCCUUCAGACGCCUUCAGUUUGAACAAUCUUGUGUACAUUAUGAAACCGUGCCUUAGUUUCCCUAAGUGUAAAAAAAAGAAAUAGUAGUAACAACUACUGCAGAGGUAGGUUGUGAGGAUUAAACGAGUUACAAUGCUGAAAAACCUAGACAUAUCUGACCCUGAGUAAAAAUUCUGAGUUAGUUAUUAUCAUUAUGGGGUGGAGUGUCUUGCCUGCCUGGGGAAGACUUCUAAUUCUCACUUCUCUCUAAUCAUCCUUUCUUUCCCCAAACACAAAAGGUGGGGGAAAAAAGCAAACACCAUGUUUUUUAUUCUCACUGACAGGUUCCUCUAGACCUCUCAGUAUUAAAAGCUUCAUAAUUUUGCA